rnacentral:misc_RNA from 1 species
AAGUCGUAACAAGGUUUCCGUAGGUGAACCUGCGGAAGGAUCAUUAAAAAAUGUGGUACCAUUAUUGGUACUAAUUAAUCAUCCUACCCUUUGUGAAUUUGUUUGUAACGAAUUUUUUUAAAUGGGUCUUUCCCUAAGUUGGAUUGUUAGUAAAAUACAAAAAGACUUAGGGGAAUGACUUUUUUAAAAGACUUUUUUUUUAAAUUAAAACUUUUUGUAUUCAUUUGUCUAAAAUUUAUUUUUAUAAUAUAAAAACAACUUUUGACAAUGGAUCUCUUGGUUCUCGCAACGAUGAAGAACGCAGCAAAAUGCGAUAAGUAGUGUGAAUUGCAGAAUACGUGAAUCAUCGAAUCUUCGAACGCAUAUUGCACUUUUUUAGUUUACUAAAAAGUAUGUCUGUUUGAGUAUCAGUAAAAUAUUCUCACAAACAUAUAUUGUUUGUGGUAUGAGUGUUUUACAACGAUAAACAAGUUGUUUCACUUUAAAUUCUUUUUGUAAUUUUUACUACCAAUUACAAAUUUAAAAUUGGAUAAAAUUUUCCUUUAACGAGGAAUAACCUAAACAAUUUUAAAUUUUUGGAUUAAUAACAUCCAUGAAGGAAUCUAUAUACAUAAAUAACUUGAUCUCAAAUCAGAUAAGAGUACCCGCUGAACUUAAGCAUAUCAAUAAGCGGAGGAAAAGAAACUAACAAGGAUUCCCUUAGUAACGGCGAGUGAAGCGGGAAGAGCUCAAAUUUGAAAUCCUCAAGGUUUGACCUUGACGAAUUGUAGUUUAUAGAAGUGUUUUCUGUUGGAGUUUUGGUAAAAGUUCUUUGGAAUAGGACAUCAUAGAGGGUGAGAAUCCCGUAUUUGACCAUGACUUUCCAGCUGUGUGAUACACUUUCAAAGAGUCGGAUUGUUUGGGAAUGCAGUCCAAAAUGGGUGGUAAAUUUCAUCUAAAGCUAAAUAUUGGCGAGAGACCGAUAGCGAACAAGUACCGUGAGGGAAAGAUGAAAAGAACUUUGAAAAGAGAGUUAAACAGUACGUAAAAUUGUCAAAAGGGAAGCGUUUGACACCAGUGUUGUUUUCUCGAAAAUCAAUUUAAUGAGUUCUUGUUUUUAAGUUAUUGUGACUUUAUCAGCGCAUUUCUUAUUUUACUUGACUCAUUGAAUGCACUUUUCGUUUAACAAGUCAACAUCAAUUUCUUUGGUGGUAAAAAGUUUAAAGGAAGGUGGCUUGGACUUCGGUUCAAGUGUUUAUAGCCUUUUUUCUAUGCCAUCGGAGAGAUUGAGGUCUGCAGCGUAGAUCCUUCGGGGUUAGAUACCUUUGUGCUAAGUUAUAGUUUUUUAUAGACAACUUGUUGACUAUAAUUAACCCUGUAAUUUACUCGCUUAGGCUAUUUUACCUACGCUUAGGAUGUUGAG